rnacentral:rRNA from 1 species
GCUUAACACAUGCAAGUCGAACGGAAAGGCCCUGCUUUUGUGGGGUGCUCGAGUGGCGAACGGGUGAGUAACACGUGAGUAACCUGCCCUUGACUUUGGGAUAACUUCAGGAAACUGGGGCUAAUACCGGAUAGGAGCUCCUGCUGCAUGGUGGGGGUUGGAAAGUUUCGGCGGUUGGGGAUGGACUCGCGGCUUAUCAGCUUGUUGGUGGGGUAGUGGCUUACCAAGGCUUUGACGGGUAGCCGGCCUGAGAGGGUGACCGGCCACAUUGGGACUGAGAUACGGCCCAGACUCCUACGGGAGGCAGCAGUGGGGAAUAUUGCACAAUGGGCGGAAGCCUGAUGCAGCAACGCCGCGUGCGGGAUGACGGCCUUCGGGUUGUAAACCGCUUUCGCCUGUGACGAAGCGUGAGUGACGGUAAUGGGUAAAGAAGCACCGGCUAACUACGUGCCAGCAGCCGCGGUGAUACGUAGGGUGCGAGCGUUGUCCGGAUUUAUUGGGCGUAAAGGGCUCGUAGGUGGUUGAUCGCGUCGGAAGUGUAAUCUUGGGGCUUAACCCUGAGCGUGCUUUCGAUACGGGUUGACUUGAGGAAGGUAGGGGAGAAUGGAAUUCCUGGUGGAGCGGUGGAAUGCGCAGAUAUCAGGAGGAACACCAGUGGCGAAGGCGGUUCUCUGGGCCUUUCCUGACGCUGAGGAGCGAAAGCGUGGGGAGCGAACAGGCUUAGAUACCCUGGUAGUCCACGCUGUAAACGGUGGGUACUAGGUGUGGGGUCCAUUCCACGGGUUCCGUGCCGUAGCUAACGCUUUAAGUACCCCGCCUGGGGAGUACGGCCGCAAGGCUAAAACUCAAAGGAAUUGACGGGGCCCCGCACAAGCGGCGGAGCAUGCGGAUUAAUUCGAUGCAACGCGUAGAACCUUACCUGGGUUUGACAUGGAUCGGGAGUGCUCAGAGAUGGGUGUGCCUCUUUUGGGGUCGGUUCACAGGUGGUGCAUGGCUGUCGUCAGCUCGUGUCGUGAGAUGUUGGGUUAAGUCCCGCAACGAGCGCAACCCUUGUUCACUGUUGCCAGCACGUUAUGGUGGGGACUCAGUGGAGACCGCCGGGGUCAACUCGGAGGAAGGUGGGGAUGACGUCAAGUCAUCAUGCCCCUUAUGUCCAGGGCUUCACGCAUGCUACAAUGGCUGGUACAGAGAGUGGCGAGCCUGUGAGGGUGAGCGAAUCUCGGAAAGCCGGUCUCAGUUCGGAUUGGGGUCUGCAACUCGACCUCAUGAAGUCGGAGUCGCUAGUAAUCGCAGAUCAGCAACGCUGCGGUGAAUACGUUCCCGGGGCUUGUACACACCGCCCGUCAAGUCAUGAAAGUUGGUAACACCCGAAGCCGGUGGCCUAACCGUUGUGGGGGAGCCGUCGAAGGUGGGACUGGUGAUUAGGACUAAGUCAU